AGUGAACGCUGGCGGUAGGCCUAACGCAUGCAAGUCGAACGGCAGCACAGUAAGAGCUUGCUCUUACGGGUGGCGAGUGGCGGACGGGUGAGGAAUACAUCGGAAUCUACUUUUUCGUGGGGGAUAACGUAGGGAAACUUACGCUAAUACCGCAUACGACCUACGGGUGAAAGCAGGGGAUCUUCGGACCUUGCGCGAUUGAAUGAGCCGAUGUCGGAUUAGCUAGUUGGCGGGGUAAAGGCCCACCAAGGCGACGAUCCGUAGCUGGCCUGAGAGGAUGAUCAGCCACACUGGAACUGAGACACGGUCCAGACUCCUACGGGAGGCAGCAGUGGGGAAUAUUGGACAAUGGGCGCAAGCCUGAUCCAGCCAUACCGCGUGGGUGAAGAAGGCCUUCGGGUUGUAAAGCCCUUUUGUUGGGAAAGAAAAGCAGCAGGUUAAUACCCCGCUGUUCUGACGGUACCCAAAGAAUAAGCACCGGCUAACUUCGUG
rnacentral:rRNA from 1 species